rnacentral:rRNA from 1 species
UCUUUUCCUUUUUUUCCCUCCUCCUCUUUACAACGUAGGUCACAAGCGUUGUCCGGAAUUACUGGGUGUAAAGGGAGCGCAGGCGGGAAGACAAGUUGGAAGUGAAAUCUAUGGGCUCAACCCAUAAACUGCUUUCAAAACUGUUUUUCUUGAGUAGUGCAGAGGUAGGCGGAAUUCCCGGUGUAGCGGUGGAAUGCGUAGAUAUCGGGAGGAACACCAGUGGCGAAGGCGGCCUACUGGGCACCAACUGACGCUGAGGCUCGAAAGUGUGGGUAGCAAACAGG